UAACCAGAUAUUAGUAUGAUCAAGACAGAUGCAGACACAAUUCAGGAAUACGUUCCUAGGUACUAAAGUCUCCCCUUCUCUUUUUCCCUAGGAAACUGCUCGGAGAACUCAUGCAAGCGGAGCUUACAGUUUCCCUGAUCAGACUCAGCAUUCAUUGGUUGACCUGGAGACAGAGGUAGAGACCCGAUGUCAGCGCUGGCCUGUGGAAGAU
rnacentral:lncRNA from 1 species